rnacentral:rRNA from 1 species
GAACGCGAAGAACCUUACCAGGUCUUGACAUCCCUCUGACCGCUCUAGAGAUAGAGUUUUCCUUCGGGACAGAGGUGACAGGUGGUGCAUGGUUGUCGUCAGCUCGUGUCGUGAGAUGUUGGGUUAAGUCCCGCAACGAGCGCAACCCCUAUUGUUAGUUGCCAUCAUUCAGUUGGGCACUCUAGCGAGACUGCCGGUAAUAAACCGGAGGAAGGUGGGGAUGACGUCAAAUCAUCAUGCCCCUUAUGACCUGGGCUACACACGUGCUACAAUGGCUGGUACAACGAGUCGCGAGUCGGUGACGGCAAGCUAAUCUCUUAAAGCCAGUCUCAGUUCGGAUUGUAGGCUGCAACUCGCCUACAUGAAGUCGGAAUCGCUAGUAAUCGCGGAUCAGCACGCCGCGGUGAAUACGUUCCCGGGUCUUGUACACACC